GUCAAGUACAAAGAGCAUCGGGUGGAUGCCUUGGCACUGGGAGCCGAUGAAGGACGUGAUAAGCUGCGAUAAGCUGCGGUAAGGAGCACAUAUCCGAUAUACCCGCAGAUUUCCGAAUGGGGGAACCCACAUGCGGUAAUGCGUAUGUAUCAUUAAGUGAAUACAUAGCUUAAUGAAGGGAACGGGGUGAACUGAAACAUCUAAGUAGCCCUAGGAAGAGAAAGAAAAAUCGAUUUCCUGAGUAGCGGCGAGCGAAAGGGAAAGAGGCCAAACCAAAUUGUUUACAGUUUGGGGUUGUGGACCACCGACAUUGACGAAGUUAUGCGAGCCGAAUAGGGUUGGAAAGCUCAAGCAGAGAAGGUAAUACUCCUGUAGGCGAAGCAGAAAGCGCAUAGGUGGCACCAGAGUAGGACCGGACACGUGUAACCCGGUCUGAAGCAGGAGGGACCACCCUCCAAGCCUAAAUACUACCCAGUGACCGAUAGCGAAUAGUACCGUGAGGGAAAGGUGAAAAGAACCCCGGGAGGGGAGUGAAAUAGAAUCUGAAACCUGAUGCUUACAAGCAUAGGGAGCGCAAGUGACCUAGUACUUUUUGUAGAACGGGCCAACGAGUUAUGGUAUGUAGCGAGGUUAAGUUGCUGGAGCAAUGGAGCCGUAGAGAAAUCGAGUCUGAAUAGGGCGAGAGUUACAUGCUGUAGACCCGAAACCGGGUGACCUAUCCAUGAGCAGGUUGAAGUAACCGUAAAAGGUUAUGGAGGACCGAACCUAUAUCUGUUGAAAAAGGUUAGGAUGACUUGUGGAUAGCGGUGAAAUUCCAAUCGAACUCGGAUAUAGCUGGUUCUCCUCGAAAUAGCUUUAGGGCUAGCCUCAAGGUAAAGAUACACGGGGGUAGAGCACUGACUGUUCGCGGGGCCUUCACCGGUUACCAACAACUAUCAAACUCCGAAUACCGUGGUAUCAUACUUGGGAGUCAGACUAUGAGAGAUAAGUUCCAUGGUCGAAAGGGAAACAGCCCAGAUCAACAGCUAAGGUCCCAAAGAGUAAGUUAAGUGGAAAAGGAUGUGGGAUUGCACAAACAGCUAGGAUGUUGGCUUAGAAGCAGCCAUACAUUUAAAGAGUGCGUAAUAGCUCACUAGUCGAGUGAUCCUGCGCCGAAGAUAAACGGGGCUCAAACUUACCACCGAAGCUUUGGAAUUAGUAUAACUAAUUGGUAGAGGAGCAUUCUAUACAGGUAGAAGGAGGCGCGUAAGCAAAUCUGGACGGUAUAGAAGAGAGAAUGUUGGCAUGAGUAGCGUAAGGCGGGUGAGAAUCCCGUCCGCCGAAAAUCUAAGGUUUCCUGAGGAAGGUUCGUCCUCUCAGGGUAAGUCGGGACCUAAGCCGAGAGCGAACGCUGUAGGCGAUGGAUAACAGGUUGAUAUUCCUGUACCACCAAGGAUUGUUUGAAUGAAGUGGGGACACAGAAGGAUAGAUUGAGCACGCCGUUGGUUGAGCGUGUCCAAGCAGUAAGGCUUGAAAGUAGGCAAAUCCGCUUUCUAAAAGGCUGAGCUGUGAUGGGGUGGUCGAAUGACCGGUAGCAAUCGAUUUCACGCUGUCAAGAAAAGCCGCUAAUGAGAUCCAAGGUGCCCGUACCGCAAACCGACACAGGUAGAUGAGGAGAGAAUCCUAAGGUGAGCGAGCGAACUAUUGUUAAGGAACUCGGCAAAAUAACCCCGUAACUUCGGGAGAAGGGGUGCCUGCUUCGGCAGGCCGCAGUGAAGAGGUCCAGGCAACUGUUUACCAAAAACACAGGUCUCUGCUAAAGCGAAAGCUGAUGUAUAGGGGCUGACGCCUGCCCGGUGCUGGAAGGUUAAGGGGAAGUGUUAGGGCAACCGAAGCACAGAACUUAAGCCCCAGUAAACGGCGGCCGUAACUAUAACGGUCCUAAGGUAGCGAAAUUCCUUGUCGGGUAAGUUCCGACCCGCACGAAAGGCGUAAUGAUUUG
rnacentral:rRNA from 1 species